CUUGCAAACUGGAGAUGGCGACCGGCGCACGGGUGAGUAACACGUAUCCAACCUGCCGAUAACUCGGGGAUAGCCUUUCGAAAGAAAGAUUAAUACCCGAUGGUAUAAUAAAACCGCAUGGUUUAAUUAUUAAAGAAUUUCGGUUAUCGAUGGGGAUGCGUUCCAUUAGGCAGUUGGUAAGGUAACGGCUCACCAAACCUUCGAUGGAUAGGGGUUCUGAGAGGAAGGUCCCCCACAUUGGAACUGAGACACGGUCCAA
rnacentral:rRNA from 1 species